GGGUGCAGGGCUCAUAAUGAAUGCCCAAGUUGUUAAUGUCUUGUGAGUUUAAUGAAAGUGAGGGCAAAUGGUGAAGCCCUCAAACUCACUUCCACUCUUUUUUUUCCAACUUGCUUAACCCAUCUCUCUCUCUCUCUCUCUCUCUCUCUCUCUCUCUCUCAAUCAUCCCUCCCACCGGAAAUUGCUCCAAUGCAUUGAAGUCGGAGCCGACGAAGCUGAUCAUAACGACUUUAAACCAUCAUAAAUAGAACUCUUUUGUCUUCCUCUUUCCAUUAAUCAUGAAAAUCUUCCUCACAAUCUAUUGUAAAUCCCUAAAAUAUCAAACUUGCCUCAAGAACCCUAACAUUCUAAACAUAAAUUAAAUGAAAACAGAGGGGAAUCAAGCCAUGCAACCUUAGGGCUUUGAUUCCCCUCACUAAGGGAUACAUACUAGUAACUCAAAUGAAGCUAAAUGGAUAAGAAAUUAAAUCCAACCUACAAGGUCAUGGCUUGCCUUGGAGAUUGUUGAAGAUUGAUGAAGCUGAUGAAGAAACAAAGAUCAAAGAGUAUUCAGGGUGAAUAUUAGGCAAGUUAACAAUUGGCUUGGCAUGCAACAAGACAUGACAUCAUGGAGACUUGGUAUGGAAGUAAGCAUGAAAAGGCUUGAACUUGGAGGCACAAAAAAUGGAGAAUAAAUGAAGACAAAUGUAGUAUUAAGAUAGUCAGUUUGACUUUGGUCAACUAUUGACCAAAAAUUCAACAAUUGAUCAAAGGUCAACUCUAGGUCAAAAGUGAUUCUAUUGUGUAGAAUUUGAUUUUGACUCUCUUUGUAAUAAAACUUUGAAGGUUUGUAAUAAAAAUGAUCCUUUGAAUGGAA